AAAGAGGCCAGCUUGGAAAAAUAAAAAAAAAUUAAAACAAAAUUAAUUAAGAAAACUACCGGCCUGCUUUAAAAUAAAACAAUUUACAAAAAAAAACAUAACAGACAUUAACCAACGACAACAAGUGAACCAUAGGCUUCUGGCAUUGGACAGACACAAAGAAUGUGGCCGGGUUGAACAUGUUUGUUAGUGCUCAAUUCCUUCCCCC
rnacentral:lncRNA from 1 species